rnacentral:rRNA from 1 species
UACGAAGGGGGCUAGCGUUGCUCGGAAUCUCUGGGCGUAAAGCGCACGUAGGCGGAUUGCUAAGUCAGGGGUGAAAUCCUGGAGCUCAACUCCAGAACUGCCUUUGAUACUGGCAAUCUCGAGUUCGGGAGAGGUGAGUGGAACUGCGAGUGUAGAGGUGAAAUUCGUAGAUAUUCGCAAGAACACCAGUGGCGAAGGCGGCUCACUGGACCGGUAUUGACGCUGAGGUGCGAAAGCGUGGGGAGCAAACAGG